UGGCGGACGGGUGAGUAAUACGUAGGUAACGUACCUUAUACUGGGGGACAACAGUGGGAAACCGCUGCUAAUACCGCAUAAGAUGUCAGGUGAAAAUCCUGAUAUUUAAAGCCUCGGCGGUAUAAGAUCGGCCUGCGUCGGAUUAGCUUGUUGGCGGGUAAAGGCCCACCAAGGCGACGAUCCGUAACUGGUCUGAGAGGAUGGCCAGCCACAUUGGGACUGAGAGACGGCCCAG
rnacentral:rRNA from 1 species